rnacentral:rRNA from 1 species
AUUGAACGCUGGCGGCAUGCCUUACACAUGCAAGUCGAACGGCAGCGGGCCUUCGGGUGCCGGCGAGUGGCGAACGGGUGAGUAAUGCAUCGGAACGUGCCAUUGAGUGGGGGAUAACGUAGCGAAAGUUGCGCUAAUACCGCAUAUUCUGUGAGCAGGAAAGCAGGGGACCGCAAGGCCUUGCGCUCUUUGAGCGGCCGAUGUCAGAUUAGCUAGUUGGUGAGGUAAAGGCUUACCAAGGCGACGAUCUGUAGCGGGUCUGAGAGGGAUGAUCCGCCACACUGGAACUGAGACACGGUCCAGACUCCGUACGGGAGGCAGCAGGUAGGGGUAAGUUUUGGACAAGUGGGGGACGAACCCUGAUCCAGCCAUGCCGCGUGAGUGAAGAA